rnacentral:rRNA from 1 species
GACGAACGCUGGCGGCGUGCUUAACACAUGCAAGUCUAACGCGGAAGUUCAGCUGGAUGGGUGGAUGAAUGGCGAACGGGUGGGUAACCGGUGAGUAACCGGCCCGCUUCUUUGGGAUAACGCCCGGAAACGGGGGCUAAUACUGGAUAAUCCCUGAUUCCCGCUGUGGGGCUGGAGGAAAGGUGUUUUCUGGUGAGGGAUGGGCUCGCGACGUAUCAGCUUGUUGGGUGGGUGAUGGCCGACGCAGUGUUAGACGGGUAGCCGGAGUGGGAGGGUGACCGGUCAGAUUGUGGCUGGGAUACGGGCGAGACACAUACGGGAGGCAGCAGUGGGGAAUAUUGCAGAAUGGGCGAAAGCAUGAUGCAGCGACGCCGCGUGAGGGAAGGAGGCGUUCGGGUUGAAAGCCUCUUGCGCGCAAGGUCAAGCCGCAGCUUUGGGUUGUAGUGAGGGUAGUGGGUAAAGAAGCGCCGGCUAACUACGUG